rnacentral:rRNA from 1 species
CCAGGACAUGGCCACCUGAUGCAGCCAUGCCGCGUGUGUGAGAAGGCCUUCGGGUUGUAAAGCACUUUCAGUAGGGAGGAAGGUAGUGUAGUUAACACCUGCAUUAUUUGACGUUACCUACAGAAGAAGCACCGGCUAACUCCGUGCCAGCAGCCGCGGUAAU